rnacentral:rRNA from 1 species
CCUACGGGAGGCAGCAGUGAGGAAUAUUGGUCAAUGGACGAGAGUCUGAACCAGCCAAGUAGCGUGAAGGAUGACUGCCCUAUGGGUUGUAAACUUCUUUUAUAUGGGAAUAAAAUGUUCCACGUGUGGGAUUUUGUAUGUACCAUAUGAAUAAGGAUCGGCUAACUCCGUGCCAGCAGCCGCGGUAAUACGGAGGAUCCGAGCGUUAUCCGGCUUUAUUGGGUUUAAAGGGAGCGUAGGUGGAUUGUUAAGUCAGUUGUGAAAGUUUGCGGCUCAACCGUAAAAUUGCAGUUGAAACUGGCAGUCUUGAGUACAGUAGAGGUGGGCGGAAUGCGUGGUGUAGCGGUGAAAUGCUUAGAUAUCACGAAGAACUCCGAUUGCGAAGGCAGUUCACUGGACUGCAACUGACACUGAGGCUCGAAAGUGUGGGUAUCAAACAGGAUUAGAUACCCUAGUAGUC